AGCGGGGUUUUCUUUGUGGUGAGGCUGGUGUGUCCCAACCCACUACGAGCUCUUCCCGGGACUUAGGGAAGGAGCGGGGAGGACAGCCUGGAGGGCCCACCUGUGCCUUUGUACGACCUGGGGGAGGGUCAGCUAAGCCCGCUGGACCCGCCGGUCUCCGGCGCCCUCACGUGGCCCUACGCUCCCCGCGGUGCGAUGGCAGCGCUGGUGACCCCGGCGCAGGUGGUGGUGACCUUUAAGAAUGUGGCUGUGACCAAGAGGAGUGGGGACAACUUGACCUGGACCAGAGGACUCUGUACCAGGAGGUGAUGCUGGAGACCUGUGAGCUACUGUUCUCACUGGGCUACCAAUCCUGAGUGGACUUCCCAACCCAUUGAUGACCUUCGUCAGAACAAGAAAAACUUCCCUGGGUCAGAAGCAGAUGACAUCUGAGUAGACAGCUCAUCGCAAGAGUCGAGACCAGGCCUGUAACCCCAACUUUGUUGAUAGUUUCAGACUGUUUUUCUUUUUUUUAACUGAGGUACCUAUAUACUUGACUUUGUCACAUUGAGGGUCAGUAAGCCUUUUUACCCCUUCCUCAUGUUUUCUUUAAUCCUGAUAAUCCUAAUAUUGGAAUUAUUCAUCUGUCAUAAAAUCUUUACCUUGAGGAAUGACAAAUUGAAAUUGUAAUGGUGUAAUCAUACUCAGGCAUACAAAAUGGAGUUGAGCAGCCAUUAAGGAUCAGAUCUCAGACACAUCCCGGCAUCACUGAGAAUUUGAACUUUCUUUGAACUGUACUAAACCCAAGGACACCAUCAGCCAUAUUUAGAACACUCAGAAGCUUCACCCUUCUGGUCUAAAAUUUCCCUUUGUAACUGCAACCAUUUUGAACCCCAACCAAUCCUUGUUAACAAGCUGCCUUGUUUCUUGCUUGCUCCAAUUAUAAUUCCUGACAGACAACUAUGUAACUCACUAUGGCUUGCAGUUUUUGCCUUCCAUUUUAAUCUUUCUCCAUUUUGUAGUAUAGUAGAAUACAAUUCACAUGCUCCUUGACUCUGUGUGUCCUGGACUAAAUACAUUUUGGGGGGUGGGGGGCGGCUUGCAGGAUCUUGGUUCCCUGACCAGGGAUUGAACCCGCACCCUUGGCAGUGAAAGGGCAGAGUCCUAAACAUUGGACUGCCAAGGAAUUCCCUCCUGGACUACAUUCUUAACAAAUCCCAAAUAAAUGCCUUUUUAUUUCAAUCAGGUCUGUUUCUGAAAUUUCAGUUUACAGAAGGAAGAAGUAAAACUCACUAUUUGCAGAUGGCAUGACACUGUAUAUAUAGAAACCCCAAAAACUCCACCAAAGAACUGUUAGAGCUAAGUGAAUUGACUAAAAUUGCAGAAUACAAAAUUAGUACACAGAAAUCUGUUGUAUUUCUGUACACUAAUAAUGAACUGUCAUAGAAAUGAAGAAAAUAAUUGCAUUUACAGUUGCAUCAAAAAGAAUAAAAUAUCUAGUAAUAAAUUUAACCAAGGAAGUGAAAGACUUCUAGUUUAAAAACUAUAAGACACUGAGGAAAUAAAUUGAAGAUGACACAAACAAAUGGGAAGAUAUACCAUGCUCAUGGAUUGGAAUAAUCAAUAUCAUGGAAAUAUACAUACUACUCAAAGCAAUCUACAGACUCAGUGCAAUCCUUAUCAAAAUACCAAUGAUAUUUUUCACCAGAACUAGAACAAAUAUUUCUAAAAUUUGUAUGGAACUACAAAAGACCCCAAAUACCCAAAGCAGUCUUGAGACAGAAGAGCAAAGCUGGAGGUAUCAUGCACCCAGACUUGAAACCAUACUACAAAGCUAUCAUAACCAAAACAGUAUGGUCUUGUCACAAAAUCAGACACAUAGAUCAAUGGAACAGAGUAAAAAGUCCAGAAGUAAACCCACAGUCAUAUGGUCAAUUUAUCUAUGACAAAGGAGGCAAGAGUGUACAAUUGGGAAAGGACAGUUGCCUCAAUAAAUGGUGGUGGUAAAACUAGGUAGCUACACGUGAAAGAAUAAAACUAGGGGGCUUCCCUGAUGGUACAGUUGUUAAGAAUCUGCCUGCCAAUGCAGGGGACACAGGUCUGAGCCCUGGUCCAGGAAGAUCCCACAUGCCACGGAGCAACUAAGCCCGUGCACCACAACUACAGAUUCUGCGCUCUAGAGCCUGUGAGCCACAACUACUGAGCCCACAUGCCAUAACUACUGAAGCCUGUGUGCCUAGAGCCUGUGCUCUGCAACAAGAGAAGUCACCACAGUGAAAAGCCUGUGCACUGCAACGAAGAGUAGCCCCCACUUGACGGAACUAAAGAAAGCCCACAUGCAGAAAUGAAGACCCAACACAGCCAUAAAUAAAUAAAUUUAUUUAUUUAAAAAAAAGAAUAAAACUAGACCACUUACACCACAUAUAAAAAUAAACUCAAAAUGGA